CUUGCUUCUGGGUCCUAGCGCGGGCACGCAGUCGCCACCCUAACUACGAGAGCGUGUCUUGGGGAAAAGCGCGAUGCUUUUUGCCCUGCGGCGUCAGUGACCGUAAGCAGCCUUCGGAGCGACUGACCCACAGCUCUAAAGGACAGCUAGCGCCACUGUUGAGACAGAAAACUGAGGCUAUGCCUGGGAAACUGUGGAUGAGUUGGAGAGCAACCCCUCCAAAGCGUCCCAAGCACUUGGUGUUUUUCUGAGCCAAACUCCCUUCUUAGAGACUAAUUAGCACCCCCACUUGUCUGUGGAACUUAGGGCCUGAAUUCAGACAAAGCUCUAAAACCUGAUGUUCCUGAUGGUCGAGUUCACCACCACAGUGAGUGGUGAAGACAUCCCAGUCAACAGAUGGUGCUGUGUGCCCGUGUCCUAGUGGUCACCCUGAGAGAUCUCCUGCUUCUGCCCUUCCCCCUUCUCCAUCCACACCAGUGUGCUGUUGCCACCCUGCUGCAGAGCAUAUUGUCACAUCCAGCAGCUGCCUUAACCUGUGACCUCUGGAACCUUGUUUCCCUCUUCCCCAACCUGUCCCUCAUCUUCCCCGUGCCCUUUUGAUGUUUCUCCAUGGAGUCUGAGGGCUUUACUGGAUCCAGAAAGGAUGUCCUGUGCCAAGUCUGUUGAUGGUGAUGUUGGUACUCCUCAUUGCUCUUCAUCAGCCACAGUGGACAGCAACAAGGCCAGCAGCGACUCUCCCUGUGACUGCUGGGGGACAUUCCUCCUCUGCCUCUGUUCCUGCAUUUCCUUCCUUGAGGUCCUGUGGCUCCUGGUGUAUACCCCACUAGGUCUCACCUCCAUGCUCCUGAGCACUGAGAAACUGCUGGUCAAGGCUAUUAGAAGAGCUGAACUGCUCCACCUCUGAAAGGGCAGUUCUGACCCUGGAUAUCUACAAUCCCUCCUGCUGCCAGCUACCUUCCACACAGGGCUGCUGCUUCACAGAUAGACCCUGGUUCUGCAGACCUGGAGGGUCCUGCUGGAGACCCAGAAGAAGGCCCAGCCACAGGACAUGAGCAGCCCUCCAGCCCUGCUGUGUUUGCUGGCACUUUCUUGUGACCAUCCAUGCCAGGAGCUGCUCAUCAGUUUGUGCGUGAGGCACGAGCUGAGGCAGCUUCUCCAUCUGGAGCAUGAGAUGGUGAGGGGAAGCUCCAGGUCUCCCAGCAGAGGGAAAAUUGCCUGCUGGAACGCUGUUGAGAAGAAAUGUGGACUGUCUCCAGGUGUCACACAGGAGAUUUAAACCCUGGGCCAGAGAGAUGUUCAGUGAGAAAAGUGCUUACUACCAAGCCUGAUGGCUGAAUUUGAUCCCAGAAGCCAAAUGGUGGAAAGAGAGAACUGACUCCCACAAAUUGUCUUAUAACCUUCAUAUACGUGUGUUUGUGCAUGCAACAUACAAAAUAAAUAAAUGUUUAAAAUUAAAGAAUUAAAUAUUGGC
rnacentral:lncRNA from 1 species